GGUCGGAAGUUCAAGUCUUCCCAGGCCCACCACACUCAUCGAGUGAGCAUUCGUCUUCUGGUUACGGGGCCAUAGCUCAGCUGGGAGAGCGCGUGCUUUGCAAGCAUGAGGUCGUCGGUUCGAUCCCGUCUGGCUCCACCAGAUGGUUUGAUCAUCGACUGAUCGUGCACCUGAAAUCGUCCGCGAAACAUCACUUCGCACCCACUAGUCCGGAUGGACGGUGACGUGCGUGAUUUCUGACAUCGUAAAGAGGAGAUCGAUCCGAGUUGGAUCGUGCAGCAAGCAAUUGCUACGCGAUACUUCAUUAUCUCCGGAUCAUUUCGGCGCUCGUGCGUCUUCCAAGGUAGCUCACAAGGCUGCAUUGAAAGACAGGCGAGUUGUAAAUGAUCCUUUUAGCGAAGCUUGACCGCCUCGCUAUCGGAACGAUCUUACGAAGCAAGCUGGUCUUUCUAAUCAUUGUCCGGCUGCAGAUAGCGUUCGUCGAGGGCGCGUGCCGCAAGGCAGUUCUGCAGACAACAUUCUGCCGAGUGUGUGGACAUUGAUAAUGAGAGC
rnacentral:tRNA from 1 species